rnacentral:rRNA from 1 species
GGAAUUUUCCGCAAUGGGCGAAAGCCUGACGGAGCAACGCCGCGUGAGGGAUGAAGGCCUCUGGGCUGUAAACCUCUUUUAUCAAGGAAGAAGAUCUGACGGUACUUGAUGAAUAAGCCACGGCUAAUUCCGUGCCAGCAGCCGCGGUAAUACGGGAGUGGCAAGCGUUAUCCGGAAUUAUUGGGCGUAAAGCGUCCGCAGGCGGUCUUUUAAGUCUGUUGUUAAAGCGUGGAGCUUAACUCCAUUUCGGCAGUGGAAACUGGAAGACUAGAGUGUGGUAGGGGCAGAGGGAAUUCCCGGUGUAGCGGUGAAAUGCGUAGAUAUCGGGAAGAACACCAGUGGCGAAGGCGCUCUGCUGGGCCAUAACUGACGCUCAUGGACGAAAGCCAGGGGAGCGAAAGGGAUUAGAUACCCCAGUAGUC